ACCGCAUCCUCCGAGGGUUAACCCUGCCCGACCCACGACCUUACCACGGGAAGGAAAGCCACGACCCGACAGGUCGGGGAGGAAAGCCACGGCUCGAGUGGCACACGAGUGAACAACGCACCGUCGACCAAGAUCCGCCGCCGCCGCCUCCGAGCUCCUUCCGCCGACGACAGAAGCGACGCCCCCCGACCCCUCCCUCCGGUGUUCAGGAUCCAACAUCCUCCCCUCCAGCGACGGCGACGGACCGCAGCCGUCAUCGUCCGCCUUCCCCGGAUCUCCCCUCCACCUCGAAGCUUCGACCCCCUUCGGCGACCACGACGGUGAUGGUUUUGUGGUUGUUUUCUACCUCCUCCGGUCAAGGUUUCCUAAAGCUAACCAAUGAAAAUGUCCAAAGAAGUUGAUGGUGAAAGUUUUAGUAGAGUGAUUAUUCCAAUGACAACACAUUUCCCCAUGGAUCAGUCACAUAUGCACAUCUUUUUAGUAGAACUAUAUGUGUUGUUACCCUCCUUGGAGGCGGCGGUAUGGACUGAUCCCCUCACCUCCCCUGCCCGGUAUGGACUGAUCCCCUCACUUCCCUUGCCCCUAGGUCUCCCGGGCGAAAGCCCUAACUUUGUUGGGCGGCGGCGGUGCUCUUGGCGUCGUUCCCUUCUUGAAGGCGCCGCUUUGUGAGCCUUGUGGUCGAGUGGUGCUUGUGGGUGUUGGGUGGCGGCGGCGGUGUGGCCCUCUUGUCCUAACGUGAAACUUCCCCCUCCGGUGUUGGAUGUGUGCAGCGGCGAUGUUCUGCUCAAGGAGAGCCUCCGGCGUCUCGUUGGGGAUGUGUUGACCCUCUCUAUGUGGCCAUCUUCCUGCAGCAUCCAUCUCAUCUUGCGAUGGUGCGACACCUUCAAUCCAGGCAAGGAGGUAGUGGCCUUCUACGAAGAUAAUGGACGGGAGUGCCGUGCCGGGGCCCGUAGGUGCAUGGCGACAACAUAUGCCCCGCUGGUGUCGCCCCCUCUCUCCUCCGAACUAGUGUGAUAUUGUUCCUGGUGCAGCAUUCUUGGAGGAGGUCCUCGUUAUCUUCGGCUUUGUUCUCUUUUGAUUAUCUCUAGUUUCCGUAGCGUGUGAGGAGUAGUUUGGUGUUGUCCAUCGUUUAUGUAUCUUACCGCCGUGUUGUUCUUUCUUUUGCAUGAGGGCGUUUGUUUGUAAUCUGGCCAGCUGAUGCCUUUUCUCAAAAAAAUUGUUAAACCAUGAUUACCGCACCAAAAUUAAUCCAUGAUGUUGUGUUA